AUCUAAAUAGUUUAUUUAAAAUAUUGAUUUGUGGUGUCAAUGAUAUGAGUUAGUCAUUUUAGAUC
rnacentral:tRNA from 3 species